rnacentral:lncRNA from 1 species
UUCUUUUUCGGUUAAAUGUUAAAUAUUAUACCAAGUUGUGACAGAAAUUACAAAGAAAACUACGGAAAUUAAACUAAACAUCAAAACUUAAUACAGAAAAAAAAGAUUCAACUGGCAACGGGAAUUCAAACUUUGAUUACAAACAUGAUUUGAACAAAAUGAUCUACAUCUGACUAAACAUCUUUAGCUUUGCUCGACCACCUCUAAACCGGCGCAUUCCGCUAAAUAGUUCAGUUAUCCUUGGACUAUCAAUCCCCGUUCUCAACCGUUGAUAGAAAGCAUUCGAGGGUGGCGUUCACCAAGUUUCCUUGGUUGCCGGUUCAUCUUAUGCCAUCAACAGAUUAGCUGGAUCUUGAUGAUCUCCUCACGCUCGCAAUCUCAGCUGACACUAAGCGCAUAGUUGAGUGAAUAGACCCGAGAGUUCAUACCUGAAAAAACCGGACUGGACGCCAUGGCGUGAGCACUCAACACCUAACAAGACCGGUUGAACUAUAGCUGCCUUUUCUCGUCGAAGCGGUACCUGUACCUGCAGUAAGAAGAAAGAAGGCAUACUACCGAAGCUUGCAAGGACAAAUUCCGAUAAUGGGAAGAACAACACUCCAAGUGCGUCGCCACGGACAGAGAUGAAGACUCCGGAGACUCACGAAGCACCACUAAUGUCCUCGCACUCCACCUCUUAGAACAAGAGGGAGGUUCUUCACUCAAAACCGUAGCCAACGGUGCGACGUUGGCCACACUAACCAUGAAGAACAAUACCCAAGAACUCUUCACCUAGGGCGUGCACUCCCAGAGAAGAGAAACCACCAAACAAGGCCAUGAACUGAAAGGCGAAGACCGGAGCAAAGUACCAAGAAGUGACGCCAAAGCGCAGACAACUCCACGCGCCACCAAGCCUGCUACUUUACACGCACCGUCGGAUACUUCAAACGACACUGCCGGAGGAAGCGAGACCGACGCACGCCUUGAAGGUAAACUACCGUCAAAGUCCGAACUGAGCGGAGUAGAAAGACUCCUCCUGCACCGAGACACCAAGGCGGAGGAGACAGAGCCGACACCACCGCACCACACAGACAAUGAUCCGAACAGAUCUGUGUCAAGGGAGCCGAUUCAGAGAAGCACGCGCCAGCAAGCUCCGGCUAGAUCCAGAUCGAGCAAAGAGGAAAAACGUCAAUCUGAAUCAAACCACCGUAAAAGCCGACCUCGCCACAUCCUGACCACCUUAGCCUCACCGCCACUCCGGAGGAAGCCGACCACCUGACAGAGCCAUCACCAGCGUCCCGGAUCUGAAGAUCUGAUGGUGGAUCGACUCUUAGAGUCUUAGCAUAUCGGACAAAGAGAUUUGAGGAGCUUAAGAGGCAAAAAAAAACGAGAUAAGGGGGAGAGGGGCCACCGGCAACGGCUCUGACACCGCUACCGGAGGAAAACAGAGCAACGGUUUGUGUCGAUUUGCUUCUACCGCAAUUUUUUCGAAGCAGGUUUUUUUUCUUCUUCUUAGCUUAACAAACUAAUGCUACUGUUAGGCCAUCGUAGUUCAAAAUUGGUGGAAUUGAUCUUAUAGAUACGGAUCUCCAGCUGGUUUCUUCUCAAGCUGCUACUGUGGAUAUUAGAAGAACCAAGCUGUUUGAAAAGUUCGUUUAUGCUUUAAUAGUUUGUCCCCUAAUCUUGGAUCUUUGAUGGCAAACAUGCUACAUAAAGCUUCCUUCUUUCAUGCCGGAGAAAGGAGCUAAGCUCAUCUGAUGAUUAGAGUUUAGAGCAUAUAUCUCUCGAUAAAAAUGGUGUUGCUACGAGCAUUGCUAUCAGCGUUACGCGGGUUCAUCGCUACCAAUCUUAUCUUGCGACUUGGGUCCCCACUAGCUACUAAUCCACUAUCCGAACAGAGGCUGUCAAUGGAGUCUCCAUGACUGGUUGACGAGCCUCUAGCAUGUUUCCUUUGUUUAUGCUUUGUUUGGGCACCUACUGGUGUUCUUUAUUUUCUGUUUUUUUCUUCUUUUAAUUUUGGUAACAUAUUCCUCCCAAUUCUCUGUUAAUGAGGUAUGUGUUGUUAGGGAGGCAGUUUGUUCUUUCUAAACUUCACAUUAUAAAAUACCAGUGUUAAAAAAAAAAGAAGAAUUUUGCUAUCAUUUCCGAAGGUAAACCACCGCAGAAAGACACUUUUGUCAAGCAAGUCAAUCAUUUUCUUCGAUUUCAGAUUAAAUCACUAUGAACUACUUAGCCCACAUAUCGACAUCCUACUACCCGAAAAUCUCUCUGAUCUCUAACACCUUUCUAUUUCUCAUAUUCUCCGGAAGAUAUACCAUUGUUUAUCAUUAGGGUUGGUUCAGAAUACUAUGCUCCUAUCAUGCGUCAUGCCGGCUCCGUGCAAUGGAGGUUUUCUUCUAGCGUGAAACCCCUACAAUGAUGUUAGGUAGAAUGACUGCAGUUGUGGCCGUCCUCUAUGGAAAAAUAUAUGUAAUGGGAGGUUGCAGGGCAGAUGAAUCUACGCAUUGGUCAGAGGGUUUCGAUACUAAGAUCAGAAUUGGGAAUCUUUACCUGACCCUGGCCCUGAGCCCCCCUUCUCUAAAAUCAAAGCAAUAGACGUGGUAGAGAGAAGUAUAUGUUAUAUAAGCAAUGAGCAUGACUAUGGUUAUUAUCCGAAUGCAGGUAAAUAGGAUGUUACAGGAAAAAAAAAAGAUUGGUGAUGUGUGACAGAGAAUAUAAGGUAUUGUUUAGUUGAGUAAAGAUUCUUCAGGUUUGUCGUUCUCACGAUUCCCAGUUCAUACGGUUUCUUCCGUACUCGACUGACUUAGUUUUGGUCAAAUAAAAAUGUAAUCAUACUCGGUAAUUGCCAAAAACGUCGUUUUUAGUAUUCUUAAAGCUAAUAGCUUUCUUUGUAUUCAACAAAAUACCAGAUAGCCUACUAAUGUACACAACUUUCACUUCAAUGAAGUAAAGAUAAGUAAGGAUGAACAAAGACAUAGAGAAGCCAUCCUAAAUCCCAAGUUAAAAAGUUCACUCUAUGGCUUCAGAUCAAUUAGGAGUAUAGACUAAACACAACUUGGUAAUAACAAGCAAUAGUCUAAAGAUAUAACCAUAGUAUACCUGACCAAUGAUCUCUCUAUUACAAGUCUGAAAAAAUCUUCAUCAACCACUUAAACUUCUAGUGCUUCGUUUCCUCCACAAAGUUACAGUCUUGGGGAGACUUUUAAGUAGGUUUUGAUGCUUCGGACAGAGCUUGGAAGACUCUUUGUUGGGUCAUAUCCUCGACAAUCAAAACUUUAUCUCGACACUUGGAUCCUGAACCCAAUGAAACUUGUCUUCUUUUCACCCCCAACACCUGUUUCACAUAACAUGUCAGAAUAAGAACGUGACUGAGAAACCCCAAACAAUUACAUCACAAAAUUAAACUAUGUGAGUAGUGACUAAUCCAUGAUUCAGCUAUAUAACGAAAGCUGAAAACUUUUUAUGCGAAGAAGAAACGAGAGAGAGAUUUACAGAGCUCAUGUACUCGAGAAGUGCAGCGUUAGCCUCACCAUCCCUUGCCGGAGCAUCGAUCUGAACGCCCACCGCUUCGUCGCUCACAUCUCCAGACCAAACCGAGUUAACCAAAUCAGUAAAUGUCUCAAAAUCGCUUUGCACAAAAGAAAGCAAAAUUACCGGUGAUGGAGGCAGAUUUGGAACCAGGCUUCGCGUGGAUGGUGAUGGCGACGGAGGAAGGCGUAAGGAGGCGCAAACAUGCCGGAAAGCUCGAAGUGUUAUCGGCGGUGGGUUUUACCGUCGUUGAUGCGGCCGAAUUGCUCUUCUUUCCUCUCUUCGUCGGAGCCAUGUUUUUUUAUCCGGCGAAGGAGGCUUCCUUUCUUAAUCGGUGGAAUCUUGUGUUUUUAUUUCAUAGGCUUUUUAGAAGGUCCAUUGGGCUUUGGAUUUGACGACGGAAUCAUUAUUUUUAUAACAUUUAUUUCUUCUUCUUUUUCGGUUAAAUGUUAAAUAUUAUACCAAGUUGUGACAGAAAUUACAAAGAAAACUACGGAAAUUAAACUAAACAUCAAAACUUAAUACAGAAAAAAAAGAUUCAACUGGCAACGGGAAUUCAAACUUUGAUUACAAACAUGAUUUGAACAAAAUGAUCUACAUCUGACUAAACAUCUUUAGCUUUGCUCGACCACCUCUAAACCGGCGCAUUCCGCUAAAUAGUUCAGUUAUCCUUGGACUAUCAAUCCCCGUUCUCAACCGUUGAUAGAAAGCAUUCGAGGGUGGCGUUCACCAAGUUUCCUUGGUUGCCGGUUCAUCUUAUGCCAUCAACAGAUUAGCUGGAUCUUGAUGAUCUCCUCACGCUCGCAAUCUCAGCUGACACUAAGCGCAUAGUUGAGUGAAUAGACCCGAGAGUUCAUACCUGAAAAAACCGGACUGGACGCCAUGGCGUGAGCACUCAACACCUAACAAGACCGGUUGAACUAUAGCUGCCUUUUCUCGUCGAAGCGGUACCUGUACCUGCAGUAAGAAGAAAGAAGGCAUACUACCGAAGCUUGCAAGGACAAAUUCCGAUAAUGGGAAGAACAACACUCCAAGUGCGUCGCCACGGACAGAGAUGAAGACUCCGGAGACUCACGAAGCACCACUAAUGUCCUCGCACUCCACCUCUUAGAACAAGAGGGAGGUUCUUCACUCAAAACCGUAGCCAACGGUGCGACGUUGGCCACACUAACCAUGAAGAACAAUACCCAAGAGCUCUUCACCUAGGGCGUGCACUCCCAGAGAAGAGAAACCACCAAACAAGGCCAUGAACUGAAAGGCGAAGACCGGAGCAAAGUACCAAGAAGUGACGCCAAAGCGCAGACAACUCCACGCGCCACCAAGCCUGCUACUUUACACGCACCGUCGGAUACUUCAAACGACACUGCCGGAGGAAGCGAGACCGACGCACGCCUUGAAGGUAAACUACCGUCGAAGUCCGAACUGAGCGGAGUAGAAAGACUCCUCCUGCACCGAGACACCAAGGCGGAGGAGACUGAGCCGACACCACAGCACCACACAGACAAAGAUCCGAACAGAUCUGUGUCAAGAGAGCCGAUUCAGAGAAGCACGCGCCAGCAAGCUCCGGCUAGAUCCAGAUCGAGCAAAGAGGAAAAACGUCAAUCUGAAUCAAACCACCGUAAAAGCGGACCUCGCCACAUCCUGACCACCUU